AUAGCAGCUAGCUAGAAAUUGCGCAAAAACGUGUUUUUCAAAGAUUCAAAGAAGAAGACAAUUAAUGUAGGGUGUUCAAGCAAGAGUGGACAUCGAAAUAUUUCUUUAUUGAGGUGUCAGGGAAAGCUGUGUAUGUAACCGGUGUGCAGUGGCUAGCUAGUUAGCGGGGAGCGAUCGGUAACGAUUCUUCGAGGGAGAAUGUUGUUGAUGUGUGCAGAGAGUCCCUGGUUCGAGCCCAGGUCGGUGCGAAGAGAGGGACGGAAGCAAUAUUGAUGCUGUUGACCUGGACCAAUGGCUGCUGCGGAAAAGGAAGAGGUCAAAAAGGGGGUGAGUGUUACCGGUGUGAAAUGGCUAGCUAGUUUGCGUGGUGCUCACUAAUAGCAUUUCAAUCGGUGAUGUCACUCGCUCUGAGACCUAGAAGUUGUUGUUCCCCUUGCUCUGCUUUUGUGGAGCGAGAGGUAACGAUUCAAGGGUGACUGUUGUUGAUGUGUGCAGAGGGUCGCUGGGACGGAAGCUAAACGGUUACAUGUGCUUAGUGUACAAAGAGCGCAUCGCUGUUUUAAAAGACUACAACUUGUCCCGACACUUCCAGACGAAGCAGAGAAAGAUAGGAAUAUGUCUUCUGAGCAGAGGACAAGUUCAUCGAAAGAGUUGCUGUCUCAGUUGCAAAAGCAGCAAGGACUUUUUACAAAACGGCAUUCAGCAAAUUACGGAAUUGCAAGAACUAGCUAUGUAUUGUCCCACAAAAUUGCUAAACAUAGCAAGCCAUUCGCUGAGGGCGGAUUCAUUAAAGAAUGUUUAAUUGACUCUGCAGCAAUACUUUGCCCCGACAAGAAAGAGCUGUUUGAAAAUGUUUCCCUGUCAAGACGAUCAGUAACACGGCGUGUUGAGGACAUCGCAGAGAAUAUGGAACAACAGUUGGAAGACGAGGCAGACCAUCUAUGGGAGGAAGAAUGCGCAGCAGCCGAAACCUGGUCCCAACAGUCUGACCGCUCCUUGGCGACAACACCAGGCUCCAGACCAUUGAAGCUGUAAAAUAGGGAAUAACAAAACAAAACCAGGAAACCUGCACAAUUCCUUCACAAAAGGUUGAAUUCCUGCAGGACUUUUUUGUUAUACGACCAUCCAUCCCGACCAAGCACCUUUUGUUUUAGCCUAAGUAACCUUCUAUCUUAUGUAUCCAUUUCAAACAUACCAUAUCAUACUAAUUUGAUUGUCCUGGAUUUAUGUUUCCUCUAUUACGUCUAGUCUGAGACUUGGGGAAUUCAGAACAGUAUUAAGUUAGCUCAUACGUUUUCACACAAUACAGAGACCGUUGUGAGGAAACAAGUUUUAUUACUUCUUUGCAGACUGUGUAAUGUGCUUUACAGUAAAAAUUGUAAUUAUUAAAAAUUAUGAACAUCAUUAAUAAAAAUAGUCCCAACUAAAAAA